rnacentral:rRNA from 1 species
AACGAACGCUGGCGGCAUGCCUAACACAUGCAAGUCGAACGAGACCUUCGGGUCUAGUGGCGCACGGGUGCGUAACGCGUGGGAACCUGCCCUUAGGUUCGGAAUAACUCCCCGAAAGGGGUGCUAAUACCGGAUAAUGUCUUCGGACCAAAGAUUUAUCGCCUUUGGAUGGGCCCGCGUUGGAUUAGCUAGUUGGUAGGGUAAGAGCCUACCAAGGCGACGAUCCAUAGCUGGUCUGAGAGGAUGAUCAGCCACACUGGGACUGAGACACGGCCCAGACUCCUACGGGAGGCAGCAGUGGGGAAUAUUGGACGAUGGGCGAAAGCCUGAUCCAGCAAUGCCGCGUGAGUGAUGAAGGCCUUAGGGUUGUAAAGCUCUUUUACCCGGGAUGAUAAUGACAGUACCGGGAGAAUAAGCUCCGGCUAACUCCGUG